ACAGGUAUUUGAUUGCUGGCAGAACAAUUGCUGUCAGCCUGGUGCAUGGAGGCCCCCCACCAUGUUUCCUCUCGGGAACACUCUUUGCCUGCAUAGCAGAGGAACUUGAGGCAUGCAGGCCUGUGCUAGAGGACAUCGCACACAUGGAACUCUAUUGGAAACUGAAAGAGCUUUCUCAAGUCAAAACACUGGAGGAGUUCCAGCAGCUGACAGAACUGCUCACUGACUACAUAGCCACUGCUGGCUGCUUGAGACAUCUUACAAGCCUGGUUGACAAGGUCAAACUGUUUCAGGUGGUUCAGCGUCUCCGUGUACCAUUGGAAAGAGGAAGAAGGACUGGCAAAGCUGGAACUGUCAUUUGGUUUUCUCCUAAACCUUCAGUGGAAUUCCAGCGAGGGAGAUUCCAGAUAGCAAACAGAUUGUAAACUGUAUUAGAAUACCUCUUCAUCAAUCCUACAAGGUCUUCAAAAGUAACAUGGACUUUGCAAUACGAAAAAUUCAGGGUUUUGGAAUGAAGUAAACAUUCUUAUUGACAGUUCUUGGUGAAAACCAUCAGUUCAGGUAGCCUAGUACUCACGGUACUGACAUCUGUUACAUGCAAAUGUUUUUGUUUCACAGAGCUUACAGCAACUUUAUUUAGAAUAUUGACAUAGCAACUUGAAUUUCGUAAACCUUAACUUGAAUCUCUAAGGAUAUACAUAGUUUAAAUUUGUUUUUUGUUAGUACAGAGGGUCAUGGAAUGGUCAUGGAUUGUUACUUGAUAAGUUGAUAUUUGUGAUGCAGUCAGGUAAAGUGAGCAAAAGCCAUUAGUUCAGUUAUAGGGUACUACAUUACAUUUGGAUUAUUACCAUUCUUCAGUGCUAUUUUUAUGUUUGUGCACUGUUGGUAAGUAAAGUCUACACAAACUGUUUUGUUUCAAGAACACUUACAAGUGUCAUAAAUAAAUUUAUUACAAUGGUUACCAUC